GCGGGUAAAUGGGGGAAACCUGAUCCGCAUGCCGCGUGUGUGAAGAAGGUCUUCGGAUUGUAAAGCACUUUUGGCAGGGACGAUGAUGACGGUACCUGCAGAAUAAGCCCCGGCUAACUUCGUGCCAGCAGCCGCGGUAAUACGAAGGGGGCUAGCGUUGCUCGGAAUGACUGGGCGUAAAGGGCGCGUAGGCGGCACAUACAGUCAGAUGUGAAAUUCCUGGGCUCAACCUGGGGACUGCAUUUGAUACGUGUGAGCUAGAGUGGAGAAGAGGGUCGUGGAAUUUCCAGUGUAGAGGUGAAACUCGUAGAUAUUGGAAAGAACACCGGUGGCGAAGGCGGCGACCUGGUCUUUAACUGACGCUGAGGCGCGAAAGCGUGGGGAGCAAACAGGAUUAGAUACCCUGGUAGUCCACGCUGUAAACGAUGUGUGCUGGAUGUUGGGGAACUUAGUUUCUCAGUGUCGUAGCUAACGCGAUAAGCACACCGCCUGGGGAGUACGGCCGCAAGGUU
rnacentral:rRNA from 1 species